ensembl:lncRNA
GUGUAACUAUACAUGUUUAGUGUAUAGCUGAGGCAUAUAGUGUAUAGUGUGCAUUGUGUAGUUUAUAGAAAGAGUGUGUAACGUGCAGUGUAUGAGUGUUUUGUAUGCACUACUACAAUAUGUUUUGCAUUGUGUAGUGUAAUAAGUGUAGUGUGUAAUGUAUGUAGAAUAUGUUGUGCAUUGUGUAGUCUAAUAAGUGUAGUGUGUAAUAUGUAGAAUGUGUCAUGUAUAGUGUGUUUAAAGUAUAGUGUGUAAUAUGUGGAAUGUGUAGUGUAUGGUGUGUGUAAAGUAUAGUGUGUAAUAUGUAGAAUGUGUAGUGUAUGGUGUGUGUAAAGUAUAGUGUGUAAUGUGUAGAAUGUGUAGUGUAUAGUGUCUGUAAAGUAGUGUGUAAUAUGUAGAAUGUGUAGUGUAUAGUGUGUAAAGUAUAGUGUGUAAUGUGUAGAAUGUGUAGUGUAUAGUGUGUGUAAAGUAUAGUGUGUAAUAUGUAGAAUGUGUAGUGUAUAGUGUGUGUAAAGUAGUGUGUAAUGUGUAGAAUGUGUAGUGUAUAGUGUGUGUAAAGUAGUGUGUAAUGUGUAGAAUGUGUAGUGUAUGGUGUGUGUAAAGUACAGUGUGUAAUAUGUAGAAUGUGUAGUGUAUAGUGUGUGUAAAGUAGUGUGUAAUGUGUAGAAUGUGUAGUGUAUAGUGUGUGUAAAGUAGUGUGUAAUGUGUAGAAUGUGUAGUGUGUGUGAAGUAGUGUGUAAUGUGUAGAAUGUGUAGUGUAUAGUGUGUGUAAAGUAUAGUGUGUAAUAUGUAGAAUGUGUAGUGUAUAGUGUGUGUAAAGUAGUGUGUAAUGUGUAGAAUGUGUAGUGUAUAGUGUGUAAUGUGUAGAAUGUGUAGUGUAUAGUGUGUAAAGUAUAGUGUGUAAUGUGUAGAAUGUGUAGUGUAUGGUGUGUGUAAAGUAGUGUGUAAUAUGUAGAAUGUGUAGUGUAUAGUGUGUGUAAAUUAUAGUGUGUAAUAUGUAGAAUGUGUAGUGUAUAGUGUGUGUAAAGUAGUGUGUAAUAUGUAGAAUGUGUAGUGUAUAGUGUGUGUAAAUUAUAGUGUGUAAUAUGUAGAAUGUGUAGUGUAUAGUGUGUGUAAAGUAGUGUGUAAUGUGUAGAAUGUGUAGUGUAUAGUGUGUAAUGUGUAGAAUGUGUAGUGUAUAGGGUCUGUAAAGAAGUGUGUAAUAUGUAGAAUGUGUAGUGUAUAGUGUGUGUAAAGUAGUGUGUAAUGUGUAGAAUGUGUAGU